rnacentral:rRNA from 1 species
UGGGGAAUAUUGCACAAUGGGCGCAAGCCUGAUGCAGCCAUGCCGCGUGUGUGAAGAAGGCCUUCGGGUUGUAAAGCACUUUCAGCGAGGAGGAAGGUGGUGAACUUAAUACGUUCAUCAAUUGACGUUACUCGCAGAAGAAGCACCGGCUAACUCCGUGCCAGCAGCCGCGGUAAUACGGAGGGUGCAAGCGUUAAUCGGAAUUACUGGGCGUAAAGCGCACGCAGGCGGUUUGUUAAGUCAGAUGUGAAAUCCCCGGGCUCAACCUGGGAACUGCAUUUGAAACUGGCAAGCUAGAGUCUCGUAGAGGGGGGUAGAAUUCCAGGUGUAGCGGUGAAAUGCGUAGAGAUCUGGAGGAAUACCGGUGGCGAAGGCGGCCCCCCUGGACGAAGACUGACGCUCAGGUGCGAAAGCGUGGGGCAGCAAACAGGAUUAGAUACCCUGGUAGUCCACGCUGUAAACGAUGUCGAUUUGGAGGUUGUGCCCUUGAGGCGUGGCUUCCGGAGCUAACGCGUUAAUCGACCGCCUGGGGAGUACGGCC